UACGUAGGGGGCAAGCGUUGUCCGGAUUUAUUGGGCGUAAAGAGCGUGUAGGCGGUCAGGUAGGUCCGUUGUGAAAUCUCGAGGCUCAACCUCGAGACGCCGAUGGAAACCAUCUGGCUAGAGUCCGGAAGAGGAGAGUGGAAUUCCUGGUGUAGCGGUGAAAUGCGCAGAUAUCAGGAAGAACACCCGUGGCUAAGGCGGCUCUCUAGUACGGUACUGACGCUGAGACGCGAAAGCGUGGGGAGCGAACAGG
rnacentral:rRNA from 1 species